rnacentral:rRNA from 1 species
AGCGAACGUUUGCGGCGGGCCUAACACAUGCAAGUCGAACGCACUAGCAAUAGUGAGUGGCGCACGGGUGCGUGACACGUGGGUAAUCAACCCUUCAGCCUGGGAUAACGACUCGAAAGGGUCGCUAAUACCGGAUACGGCGCGAGAGGCUUCGGCUUCUCACGAGAAAGCCACGCAAGGGGCACUGAAGGACGAGCCUGCGGCCCAUCAGCUAGUUGGUGAGGUAAGAGCUCACCAAGGCAAAGACGGGUAGCUGGUCUGAGAGGAUGAUCAGCCACACUGGAACUGAGACACGGUCCAGACUCCUACGGGAGGCAGCAGUGGGGAAUAUUGCGCAAUGGGCGAAAGCCUGACGCAGCCACGCCGCGUGAGCGAUGAAGGUCUUCGGAUCGUAAAGCUCUGUGGGGGGAGAAGAAGAAAGCCGGUGAAGAGCCGGCCCUGACGGUAUCCCCUUAGCAAGCACCGGCUAACUCCGUGCCAGCA